rnacentral:miRNA from 1 species
GAACUGUUCUGAGAGGGAGGGAGAAGCUAGGGGGGGGGGAUUCGAAGGCGAGAGAAGCUAUUUCUUUCUCGCCCCUCCCAUUUUCCCUCGCUCUCUUUCUCUCGCCUUCGAAUCCCCCUCCCCCUAGCUUUUCCCACCCUCCCCCUAAAUAG